CGUAGUUCCCUUUUCGCCUGGAUAAAGCCAUUUUGGUAGGCCGUACAUGGUGGCUUCAUAUUUCACCUCGUGGAAAAAAUAUUUCGCGUUGUAUUUCCUAUUGUGCAUCAGAGACUAGACGACCGUUUCGUUGAAGUUGCAUAACUUGACCAGCCUGUGCAGGAUAUCUGAGGAACUCGGUGUGUCGGAUUAGUUAACGCGGGGACCGUACGCAGUUUUCAUUACGCGGCACAGUUGAACGGUUGUCGUCCGGUGUUGACGUCCCAACGAACAAAGGAACCGUGAGGCCGACGCACGCUCGUUAGCGCAUUCAUAGCUAGAUAUUAUUUAUGAAAUCAUUUAAAAUUAAACCCACCCCGACGCCUUUUUUGUUAUAGCAUUUUAUUUUGAGACGUCUUAUCCUAAAACACAACUAACCAGUUAGCCUGAGUCAUUCAGACGUGUUAGCAACAUCGGCUAAGGUUAGCCGCAGUCGUGGACUACUAGCAAGCUAAUUGCUAUAACUUUAGCAUUGUUUUGAUUCAAUAAAGAAGUUUUCUUUUUGGGCAAAAUGGCUGAAGUUUAUAUCCGAGUGGCAGAGGAGGAGAACGAGGAACCCAUGGAGAUCCCGUCAGAGGACGACGGCACGGUUCUGCUUUCAACGGUGGCAGCUCAGUUUCCAGGGGCGUGUGGCCUACGGUUCAGGAGCCCCGUGUCUCAGUGCAUGCGAGGAGUGCGUCUUGUGGAAGGAGUCCUACACGCGCCAGAAAACGGAUGGGGCAAUGUCGUGUACGUGGUGAACUACCCAAAAGACAACAAAAGAAAAAUGGAGGAAAUUGACGCCUCCUCUGCUGUAAAGAUGAAGAGAGGAGACAUGAAGACAUCCGACCUGAUCGUACUGGGUCUUCCUUGGAAAACAACUGAGCAGGACUUGAAGGACUACUUUAGCACAUUUGGAGAAGUCAUCAUGGUUCAGGUAAAACGAGAUGCCAAGACUGGAAACUCCAAAGGAUUCGGCUUUGUGAGGUUCACAGAGUAUGAGGCUCAGGAGAAGGUGAUCUCACAGCGCCAUAUGAUUGAUGGGAGAUGGUGCGACUGCAAGCUCCCAAACUCGAAGGUGAAUCUGCAAGGUCCUGAUGAGCCACUGAGGAGCCGGAAAGUGUUUGUAGGUCGUUGCACAGAAGACAUGACCACUGACGACCUCCGGCAGUUCUUUAUGCAGUAUGGGGAGGUCACAGAUGUCUUCAUCCCCAAGCCAUUUCGUGCUUUUGCCUUUGUCACAUUUGCAGAUGAUCAGGUUGCCCAGUCUCUCUGUGGAGAGGACCUAAUAAUCAAAGGCGUCAGUGUUCACAUCUCAAAUGCUGAGCCCAAACAUGGCAAUAGGCAGUUUGAUCGCACAGCACGGUUUGGGAAUGGUUUUGGAGCUCAAGCAUUUGGUAGCAGCCGUAGUGGGUUAGGGAGCAGCACUAACAGUAGUCUGGCUAAUUUUGGGUCCUUCAGUCUGAACCCUGCCAUGAUGGCUGCCGCUCAGGCUGCUCUGCAGAGUAGUUGGGGGAUGAUGGGCAUGCUGGCUAGCCAGCAGCAGACAUCCACCUCAGGCAGCACCUCCAGUGGAACUAGCUCUAGUAGGGACCAGAGUCAGUCUUUCAGUACAGGCAACAGCAACUACGGCACCAGCUCAGCCAGUCUCGGCUGGGGAACAGGGUCAAACUCUACAACCACUGGUACAGGGUUUAGCUCAGGUUUUGGGACCAGUAUGGAGUCAAAGUCAUCUGGGUGGGGUAUGUAAGUUAAAUGUUUGUAUGGUAAGUAUUGUGACAGAGAUGAGUCUUUUCAAAAUUUAUUUCUGGUGUUGAUGCGUAUCUGAGAACUUAACACUUUUGUGGAAGAUGUUUUGUACAUUUGGAAAAAAUGCUAAAGAUUUAAUUUAGGAAGUGUUGAAGUGAAUUGUUUACCAGGAUGUCUGACUAAAGUGCUAUUUUUGAUGUCUCAUUUGUUUGUAUCCAUUUCAACUGGAUUCUCUAAUGCAUGUAUUGUGAAAUGUGAUAUAACCAUUUUGAAAAUGCAUGAAUGUUUGUGGUUCACCAUUAUCCGGCUUUGUCAUCGACCUAAAAGGCAAUCUUGCAUUGGGAAGAAUCUGGUUGAAACCUAAAUGUUUUAAGUGCAACUUUAUUUGCAGUCAAGUUCUGUGGAAAAGCCUUCAUUGAAAUCUCUUCUGCAGUUCACCUCUCUUCCAUUUUCCUGUGAGGAAGCUCCUCUUUGGCAGCAUUCUUGGGGUGAUAUCGGUAUCAUUCUCCCUCUUCCCACCUGUAAAUGCUAUGCCAUCAAAGAACGGCUUCACUCCGCAUGUUCUAAGAGACGGGACCUUGGGCUCUGCUGGUCGAGGUCUCCGUUUGAACCCUGACUGAAGUCUGUUCUGAAGGACGAAGACGGAAGUUCCAACACUUUCAGUGUGUGGCCUUCUCAGACAUGACAUGGGGUAGUACCUGUCUUUUUGCUGCUUUUGAUGGCUUGUCAGAGUGAAUCAUCCCUUUUUGAUUAUUCACAGCUACUCUUAAGGUUAGAUGGAAGGUCUAGAGGGGAUCACUGUCUAUAGAAAUCCUUCAAUAGAUGAGCUCAGCAGUGUGGCAUUACCUCUCCAAACUGUAUUUUUUAAGCCUUUAAUUUGGCUUAAACAGUCAGACAACUAAUAAUAUAUCAGGUAAUUUUAUGGCAUUUGUUCGGUAAGUUUUAGAUGAUCAUACACACUUAGUGGCCACUUCAGAAGUACACCUGUACAUUCUAUUGUAAAUUAAUACAGAAGUUAUGUCAUAAAUGUCACUUUCAGGAAGUUUAAAAUGUUAAAUUUUAAGGGUUUCCUCAGAUCUUUAGAAAGUUUUAAAAGGCACUGACUUCUUUUUUUUAAGGCCUUAAUUGGUAUUAAAAUAUCUUAAAUUGAUCUUUCAAAAGUCUUUAAAAUUGUGAAGACAUGGAAAGUAGUAUUUCAUAAAUAUUUUUCUUCCAAUGAAUCGUACAAUCUCAAAAGGCACAAGAUUAAUUUUUAAAAAUAUGGCCUUAAUUGGCGUUAAAAUGUCUUAAAUCAAUCUUUAAAAAAAGUCUUAAAAUUGUAAAGACAUGGGACAUAGGUUUAUGUAUUUUUUCUUGUGAUGAAUCGUAAAAUCUCAAAAUAAUUAGUAACGUUUAUCUUUUUCCAAUAAACGUCUCUCACAUUAACAGCACCAAACGUUAUGUUUUAUGUUAUAAAUAUUUGGGCACAACUGUCACUAUCUUUAAGUAAUUGAUGGCGAUUUAUGUUUUUUCUUCAAUAUUUAUAACUGUAAAUUUUGUCUUAAAUCUCGUUCUGCAUUAAAGUAUUAAAUAUAACUUGCCUUAAAUUAAAGGACCACUUAUUUUUGUAGGCAGUCGGAAAUUUUUAAUGCAAGCAUGUUUAACACUGAGGUUGUAGUUUGCGUUAUACUGGACUGGAUUAUAUUAAUGUGUUUCUAAUUUUUUCCCCCUUCCUAUCUACAUAUGAGUGGGGCAGACUUAAACUCCUCUGAACAUAAUGCAGACUAAUCACUACCUGUAGAGGUCAUAGUUUAUUAAGUAUUAACAAAAACAAAAAUUACAGGCAUCGUAAAAGUAGGCUUCAUGGCCGGUGUGUUGGAUUGCAUCAGAUUAUACAGGUGUACCUAAUAAAGUGGUCACUGAGUACACAUUAUGGACAGUUUGCCUGGCAGUCUU